AUACGUAGGGGGCGAGCGUUGUCCGGAAUGAUUGGGCGUAAAGGGCGCGUAGGCGGCCCGGUAAGUCUGGAGUGAAAGUCCUGUUUUUAAGAUGGGAAUUGCUUUGGAUACUGUCGGGCUUGAGUGCAGGAGAGGAAAGUGGAAUUCCUAGUGUAGCGGUGAAAUGCGUAGAUAUUAGGAGGAACACCAGUGGCGAAGGCGACUUUCUGGACUGUAACUGACACUGAGGAACGAAAGCGUGGGGAGCAAACAGGAUUAGAUACCCUGGUAGUCCACGCCGUAAACGAUGAACACUAGGUGUCGGGGUUUAAAGACUUCGGUGCCGCAGUUAACGCAUUAAGUGUUCCGCCUGGGGAGUACGCACGCAAGUGUGAAACUCAAAGGAAUUGACGGGG
rnacentral:rRNA from 1 species